UACGGAAGGCAGCAGUGGGGAAUAUUGGACAAUGGGCGAAAGCCUGAUCCAGCAAUGCCGCGUGAGUGAUGAAGGCCUUAGAAUUGUAAAGCUCUUUUACCCGGGAUGAUAAUGACAGUACCGGGAGAAUAAGCUCCGGCUAACUCCGUGCCAGCAGCCGCGGUAAUACGGAGGGAGCUAGCGUUGUUCGGAAUUACUGGGCGUAAAGCGCACGUAGGCGGCUUUGUAAGUUAGAGGUGAAAGCCCGGGGCUCAACCCCCGGAACUGCCUUUUGAUACUGCAUGGCUUUGAAUCCAGGAGAGGUGAGUGGAAUUCCGAGUGUAGAGGUGAAAAUUCGUAGAUAUUCGGAAGAACACCAGUGGCGAAAGGGCGGCUCACUGGACUGGUAUUGACGCUGAGGGUGCGAAAAGCGUGGGGAGCAAAACAGGGAUUAGAUACC
rnacentral:rRNA from 1 species